AUCGCUUCUCGGCCUUUUGGCUAAGAUCAAGUGUAGUAUCUGUUCUUAUCAGUUUAAUAUCUGAUACGUCCUCUACCCGAGGACCAUAUAUUAAUCUGAUUUUUGGAACAGGGAGACGGAAGAGGGGCUUGCUCCGUCCGCUCCACGCAUCGACCCCGGUAUUGCAGCGACUCCGGGAACGGUGCACAUUCC